rnacentral:rRNA from 1 species
AUACGGAGGGAGCGAGCGUUAAUCGGAAUUACUGGGCGUAAAGCGCGCGUAGGUGGUUAUGUAAGUUGGAUGUGAAAGCCCCGGGCUUAACCUGGGAAUUGCAUUCAAAACUGCAUGGCUAGAGUCUGAUAGAGGGAAGUGGAAUUUCCGGUGUAGCGGUGAAAUGCGUAGAUAUCAGGAGGAACAUCAGUGGCGAAGGCGACUCACUGGACUAAUACUGACGCUGAGGUGCGAAAGCGUGGGGAGCAAACAGGAUUAGAAACCCCAGUAGUCC